rnacentral:piRNA from 1 species
CCCAGAGAGGCGCCCGUCAGAUGCCA